ACGGGGGGUGCAAGCGUUGUUCGGAAUUAUUGGGCGUAAAGAGCGUGUAGGCGGCUGAAUAAGUCAGAUGUGAAAUCCCUGGGCUUAACCCAGGAAGUGCAUUUGAAACUAUUCAGCUUGAGUAGGGGAGAGGAAAGUGGAAUUCCUGGUGGAGGGGUGACUUGCUCUGUUAUCAGGAGGAGCAGCGGUGGCGAGGGUGACUAUCUGGAUCAAUCCUGAGUGUGAUCCGCGAGAGCGUCUGUAGAUUACCG
rnacentral:rRNA from 1 species